AGAUUGAACGCUGGCGGCAGGCUUAACACAUGCAAGUCGAGCGGUAGCAGGUCCUUCGGGAUGCUGACGAGCGGCGGACGGGUGAGUAACACAUAGGAAUCUGCCCAGUAGUGGGGGGAUAGCCCGGGGAAACCCGGAUUAAUACCGCGUACGCCCUUAGGGGGAAAGCAGGGGAUCUUCGGACCUUGCGCUAUUGGAUGAGCCUAUGUCGGAUUAGCUAGUUGGUGGGGUAAAGCCUACCAAGGCGACGAUCCGUAGCUGGUCUGAGAGGAUGAUCAGCCACAUCGGGACUGAGACACGGCCCGAACUCCUACGGGAGGCAGCAGUGGGGAAUAUUGGACAAUGGGGGCAACCCUGAUCCAGCCAUGCCGCGUGUGUGAAGAAGGUCUUUCGGGUUGUAAAGGCUACUUUCAGUAGAGGAGGAAAACCUUGCGAUUAAUACUCGUAGGCUUAGACGUUACUCACAGAAGAAGCACCGGCUAACUCCGCGCCAGCAGCCGCGUAAUCGUGA
rnacentral:rRNA from 1 species